rnacentral:lncRNA from 10 species
CCAGGGUUGGCCAACUGUGGAAACCUUCUGGACUGGGAAGUUAGUCAGGGGGAAGAGUCAGUGCAGUGUGAGUCAUGUUGGGGGCAGGUGGUGGCUCCCUGGCGACAAAGGCAUGGGUGUGGAGGUUAGGGCUGGGGAGAAAGGAGAGCUGGUAGCCUUUUCCUUUUGUUUUGUGUCAUUUACGUACCAUAAAAUGCACACGUUAGUGUAGAAUUCAGUGGCUAUUAGUGCGUUCACAGAGUUGUAAAACAUCACUGCAAUCUCGUUUUAAGUGACUGGUUGAGCUUCUGUGAGGCUGAGGAUGCAGACCAGGCCUCCGGGCUGGUGAGGACUGGACUUCCUGACUGUUCCUCUGCAGACUGGCAAGCCCGUUUGUGCCCUGCUCCGCACUGGGGGCCUGGCAGAGAAGAGGGGCUGGAGCCCAGUGGGGUUUACCAGCAUCUUCACCAAGCGCUGUGCCCAGGAAUGAGGUGCUGUUCCUGGCCGCACGUCUGGGGGACGCUGCCUUCGAAUCCACUCACAGCAGGUUUCAGUCCUUGAGGAGCGCUCACUAGGAUGGUAAUUGUUUGAUCGAUAGAUUAAGUGAGUUGGAAGACUCUCCAAGUGAAAAUUUAAAAUUACUGCAGUUUUGGCCUGAUGAUGUUAACCAGCAAGAACAGAAUCUGAAACCAGAUGAGCUGUUAGUACUGCUUUCAUCUGUUUUACAGCCACAGCGACAGCAGUUCCCUGGCUUCUGGAAGGAGUGUCGGUCUAUCCAAAAAAUGUACUAACAGAUAUGUAAAGUCUGUCAUCCAUUUGCAGCAAAUUUUGCCUACGGUAUGAAAUAGGAGUUCAAUUUGACAUUGAAUAUUGAUAUCUUAGCAAUAUUAUCUCCCAAUCUGUGAACACGAAAUUUCUUUAUAUUUAUUCAAAUUAUCUUUGGUUUUUAAUGAUGUUAAAUCCAAGUAUUCUUUGUGAUGCUGUUGUAAAUGGAAUUUUUUGUGUUGUUCAUUGCUAAUGUAUAAAAACCAAUGAUGUUUGUAUAUUAAUCUUGUAUCCUGCAACCUCAUUGAACUAGUUUAUUAGCUCUAGUAAUAUGUUGGUGUGAAUCCCUUAAUAUUUUCUACAUACAAGAUCAUGUCAUCUGCAAAUUGUUUUACUUCUUCCUUUCCAAUUUGGAUGCUUUUUAUUUCAUCUUGCCUACUGCUUUGGCUACAACCUCCAGUACAAGAUUGAAUAGAAGUGAUGAGACAGAACAUCCUUGUCUUAUUUGUGAUCUCUGGGGGGGAAGGCUUACAGUAUUUUGCAUCAACAUAUCAGCUACGGGUUUUUCAUAGAUGUCCUUUCUCAGGAUGAAAAAGUCCAUGUUUGGCUUUUUGAAUGUUUUCAUCUAAGAGUUUUGGAUUUUGCCAAAUGUUAAAUGCUUCUUCUGUAUGCAUUGAGAUGAUCUUGUUGUUUUUGUCCUUUAUUCUAAUAAUAUGGUGUACUACAUUGAUUUCUGUAUGUUGAAGUUUGUAUUCCUAAGAUAAAUCUCACUUGCUUAUGGUGUACAUUCCUUUCUAUAUGUUGCUGGAUUUACUUUCAUUAGUAUUUUGUUGAGGAUUUUUGCCUCUAUAUUGAGGGCUAUUGGCCUGUAGUUGUUUUCUUUGCCUGAUUUCUAAUGUGGGUGAUACUGAAUUGGGAAGGGUAUCCUCCUUCUCUGUUUUUUGGUGUUUGUGAAUAAUUGGUGGUAUUCUGUAAAUGUUUGACAGAAUUCACCAGUGAAGACAUCUGCUCCUGGACUUUUUCCCGUGGGAAGUUUGUUUUUAAGAGAUGGGAGUCUCACUCUCACCCAGGCUGGAGUGCAGUGGUGUGACAAUAGCUCACUACAGCCUUGAACUUGUGGGCUUAAGGGAUACUUCCACCUCAGCCUCCCAAGUAGCUGGGACUGCAGGUGUGCACCACCACACCUAUUUUUUUUUAAUUUAUUUUUUUUUAGAGACAAGGUCUCACUAUGUUGCCCAGGCUGGUCUUAAACUUCUGGCCUAAAGCCAUCCUCCUGCUUCAGCCUCCCAAGUAGCUGGCAUUACAUGUGUGAGCCACCAUGCCUGGCUGUGGGAAGUUUUUUGAUUACUCAUUAAUUUAAUCUCUUGUUUGGAUCUAUUUAAAGUUUUUAUUUCUUCUUCAGUUUUGAUAUGUCUUUCUAGAAAUUUGUCCAUGUCAUCUAAGUUCCCUAAUUUGUUGUCAUAUGAACUCUUAUUUUUAUUUCCAUAAGAUUGGUAGUAGUCUUUCAUUCCUGACUUUGGUAAUCUAUCUUCUCUAUUUUUUUUUCUAGGCUGCCUAAGGGUGUGUCAACUUUAUUGACUUUUUCUAAGAACCAGCUUUCGGUUUGAUUUUCUCUGUUUUUCUUUCUAGGCUGCCUAAGGGUUUGUCAACUUUAUUGACUUUUUCUAAGAACCAGCUUUUGGUUUGAUUUUCUCUGUUUUUCUUUCUAUCCUCUAUUUCAUUUAUUUUGAUUCUAAUCCAUAUUAUUUCUUUGUUCUGCUUGCUUUAGGUUUAGUUUGCUAUUAUUUUCUAGUUUCUGAAGGUUUAGAGCUAGGUUAUUGAUUUGAAGCUUUUAACAGAGACAUUUAUAGCUAUACAUGGUCCUUUAAGUGAUGGUUUAGCUGCAUCUCAUAAGUUCUGGUAUGUUCUGUUAUUUUCAUUACUCUCUUAAGGGACUUUGUAAUUUCCCUUGUGAUUCUUUUCUUUGACCCAUUGGUUAAAAGGAAUGUACUGUUUAAUUUCCACAUUUUUUUAGGUUUCCCAAAUUUUCUUCCAAUUUUAAAUUUCAUCCCAUUGUGGUCAGAGAACGUGUUUUGUAUAAUUUCAACGAUUAAAAUUAUGCCUUCUUGAUGGAUUGUCCCUUUUAUUAUGUAAUGUCUUUGUCUCUACUAACAAUUUUUAUCUUAAAGUCUGUUUUGUCUGAUGUUAUAUCCACUCAAGCUUUUUCCUUACAGUUUACAUGUGUUUUUUUCAUCCUUUUACUUUCAGCCUACUUGUGUCAUUGAAUCUAAAGUGUUUCUUAGUGGGCAGCAUAUAGUUGGACCAUGAUUUUUAUCCAUUCUACCAUCUUUGCCUUUUGAGUGUUUAAUCCAUUUAUGCUUAAUGCCAAUUACUGAUAAGGCAGGGUUUAGUCUGCCAUUUUGCUAAUUUUUUUCUUUUUUUUUUUUUUUAAUAGAGACAAGGCCUCACUAUGUUGUCCAUGCUGGCCUUGAACUCCCCAGGCUCAAGCAAUCCUCCUGCUUCAGCCUCCCAAAGUGCUGGGAUUAUAGGCAUGAGCCACUGUGACCAGAUUUUUUGCUUUCUAUGUCUUUUGUCUUUUUUGUUCCUUUAUUCCUCUGUUACUUCCAUAUCUUCUUUUGUUAGCAGCUAUUUUCUAGUGUACCAUUUUCUUUGUUGUAGCUUUUACUAUAUAUUCUCUAGCUAUGUUCUUAGUGUUUUUCCUGAGGAUUAUUAACAUUUCAAUUUAUAACAACCUAGUUUGGAAUAAUGCUAACUUCAACAGUAUAGAAAAAUUUUCUUCCUAAGUCUCUUCCCUCCUCCUUCCUUUGUAAUGUUGUCAUACAAAUUGUUUUUUCACCUUAUGCCCAGAUUUUUAAUUAUUGUUUUAUGCAGUUGCCUCAAAUCAGAUAGGAGGAAAGUUACCAAAAAUGCAUUUGUACUGCCUUUUAUAUUUACCAAUAUAACUACCUUUACCAGUGCUAUUUCUUCAUGUGCAUUUGAGUUACUAUUAUCUUUUCGUUUCAGCCUUUAAGUUCUCUGUUUUUCUUGUAGAGCAGCCUUGCUAAUAAAUUCUGUUUUUGUUUAUCUGGGCAUGUCCUAAUCAUUUCUGAAGGAUAGUUUUGCUGGAAAUAGAAUGCUUAUUUGAUAGUCAUUCACUUUCAGCACUUGGAAUACAUCAUCCCACUGUUUUCUACACUCCAUAGUUUCUGAUGAAGAUCCCUAGUACACGAGUCACUUCUCUCUUUGCUUCCAAGAUGCUUUGGUACACAGUGUGAUUUUGUAUCCAGGCACGGAUCUCUUGAGUUUAUACUACUUAAGGUUCAUUGAGCUUCUUGGGUAUGUAAAUCAAUGCUUUUCAUCAAAUUUCAGUCUUUGGCCAUUAUUUUUUUUUAAAAUAUUCUACCUCUUUCUCUCCUCUCGUCUGGGACUCCAAUUAUGCAUAUAUUGGUAUGCAUGAUGGUGUGCCACAGCUCUCUGAGGCUCUAUUCAUUUUUCUUUAUUCUUUUUUCUGUUUCUCAGACUAGAUAGAGUUCCUCUCAUGAAUUUUUCAUUUCAGUUAUUGUAUUUUCAACUUCAUGAUUUAUAUUUGGUUCUUUUAAAAAUAAUUUUUCAUUUUCUAUUUAGUGAGACAUUUUCAUACUUUUAGUUCUUUACACAUUAUUUUUCUUUAGUUCUCUGAACCUAUUUAAAAUAGCCAAUUUAAAGUCUUCAUCUAAAAAUCCAAUGUCUAGACUUCCUCAGGUGUCUAUUUUUUAUUCCUCCCAUGUAUGGAACAUACUUUCUUCUUUAUGUGUCUCAUAAUUUUUCUGUGGAAAACUGGACAUUUCAAAG